CCGUCGUCGUCUCCAGCGCCGCCCUCCUCUGCGCCUCUUCUUUCGGUUGGUUCCCGAGGAAGUAUCAGCGGAGUCCUCCCUCGGCGAUCAUGGCCGCGGAGGCGGCGGAAGAGAAACGUCAACCAAGGACGAGGCCCAGAUCCAGGCUCAUCGUCCGCCUCGCCGGGUUCCUCGUCGCCCACAGCGUUCUCGUCAGCGUGGUGUGUUGCAUAGCGGGGUCGAUCGCUUUCCUCCUCCUCCCCUUACUGGCCAAGAACACUUACGUCUCCGAGAACGCGCUGAUGCCAGGUUCUGCCAAUCCAAUGUUUUCUUCUCAGGAUGUACUCGAAGCAAACAGAUUUGACGAGGAAAUGAUUGAUAAAGAAAACACAAAAGCUACAGGAAUAGAAAUAGCAAAAUUGAUAGGUCAGCAGAUGGUGGAUGUGGGUGCUGAAUUGUAUUACCACAAAUUCCAACCUCAUGCCAAUCAGUUCCAUCCUCUUCAUUUUUUCUCUUCCAUCACUAAUACUUUGGAGAUGCAAGAUAACUCUAGCUGCACAUCAUUUGGUCUCAAUUCUGUUGGUAUUAUACGAGCGCCUCGUGGUGAUGGGAAUGUUGGUAACUCCUUACAAUGCAAAGAAUCUCAGACAGGAUGAAGCCUUAUCACUAGGGCUUGCCUUCUCAAUUUUCUCACUUCUUAGCAGAGUUACAUGGCUUGCAAAGGAUAUAGUUUGGUUAGCUGCAGAUUCCAGAUAUGGAGAGUAUAUAGCAGUUGAUACUUGGCUAAAAGACUACCAUAAUCCUUCUUUCCUUUAGUGAUUCAGGGAAGAUAGUUGCUGGUAUAUGUUUUGAAGAAAAUAUUCACCAUUUUAUGGAUCAAUUAAAGGUUAAUGGACCAAAGUGUAAUGUUUUUAAGCGUGCUGGAACUAUGGCUGCUGCUCUUGUAUUUAAGAUCGUGGACAAGGAGGAAGAAAGAGAUUGUGUUACUAUACAUGCAGAGGCAUCUAAUGGCCAGAUGCCUAAUCUUGAUCUUAUUAGUAUUGUUCGUUAUUUGGCAGUUCACAGACAAGGUCUGCAUGUAAAGAUUGAAACCAUGCAAUCAUUACUUAAAUCUGCAUUGCUCAAGUUUAUUGGUGAAAUGCUGCAAUGGUUUGGUAAACUGGCCAAACAAUUUAAUCCAAAAUGGAAAUUUGAUAUUACAGCUGCCAAAUAUGUUCAAGGCACUGCUACUCUUGCAAGCUCAAUUUAUUAUCAGGCCAUUGGUGUGCCAACUGGGUCCCAUGGGGCUUUCCGUGAUUACCAAGUGGAUGCAGUUACUCUUGAGCUCUCCCCCAGAUUCCCUCUUAAUAAUGACAACAGUCGAUAUGCAUUUCUUCUUAGGAGUGGCAGGUUAGUUGAAGCAGUCAUCCGCUCAGUAAAUAACCUUCUCGAGAAGUUUCAUAAGUCAUUUUUCCUCUAUCUCUUAACAGCUCCUCAUAAGUUUGUGUCUGUCGGAGUUUACAUGAUUCCAUUUGCACUGCUAAUAGCUCCUCUUCCAAUAGUCGCUGCUGCUCUCUUUUCUGGUAGUGAUAAAUUAGGACUUUCAGCAGAUGAAAUGAACCCAGAACCUGGAUGUGCCAGUCACACAGAAAUCAGCUCUGGAUCAUGGAAAUGGCUUCAAGCUGCAAAAGUGGUAUUCAUGAUUCACUUGUGGGGGAUCAUCGUGUCAUUGCUGCCGAGCAUUCUUUCCCAACCCCCCCUUAUAAUCCCAACAAAUCUCAUGUUAGUUUGGGCUGCAAUAGCCAUCGGAACCCUGCUGAUCUGCUACCUGGUUUUGGGCACUUGUUCCACCCAUUGUGGAUGGGAACUUCUGAAAUCUGUGAUGAUUGCUGCUGCUUCAAUGGGUCUGAGCUUAAUGUCAGUCAUCAAUUUCUCAACUGCACAGACUGGGGCCAUGCUGAUUGUUCCAAUGUGUUUGUUAGUUCAACCUCUGAGGAAGCAGGUGGAGGCAAGUGUUUGUCUCAGGUCGGCACUACUGGUGAUCUGCAAUUUAGCUCUGGCUGUGGUUGGGUUUCCAACAGUUGCAUUACUGACAUCUAGAGGUUCGUUUGAGGAUUUUGGAAAGACAAGUAUCGGUACCUUCUGGGAAUUGUCACAGCUCUUAUGGUCAUGGAACAGCGCCACUUACCUGUACCUACUAUGGAUUCAUCUACCUUGUUGGGUUCUUUGCUUGCAUAUUUUGCUCUAUCCAUGUAUUGGGAGGUCAUCCAAACCAUGAACAUUUUUUUGAAGCCGUUGAUAUUGUCAUAUUAUGGGAUCACUCAGUUGCAGAGCAAAUACUGGAGAAUUCUUGUUAUAGAAAGCCACUCAAGCUCAUUGGAAAAAUGCAUGGAGUUUUAGCAAAAGCUAUUCAUCUUGUGCCACUGAAGAAUUGUACGAAAAAGAUUUCCCUUUCAAGAUGACUCCAGAGAGAAAAAGAGGUUCUAAUUGUUCUGACAGAGCAUUAUUUUGAUUCGUGAUUUGACACUAACUGUUUAGAACUUUAGAUUUUGAUAUUUGCUGAUCCAUUGCUCGCCCUUUCAACAUGUUGAAUGCCUUGGGAGGAGUUGAACAUGACCAUAUAGUUAAUUUUAUUUCUGCA